AGUCCACCCCAGUGCUCCUCCCAGUCCAUCCCAGUGCUCCCAGUAUAUCCCCAGUGCUCCCAGUCCAUCCCAGUGCUCCCAGUAUAUCCCAGUCCUCCCAGUCCAUCCCAGUGCUCCACGUGUUCCCGGUGCUCCUCCCAGUCCUUCCCAGUCCAUCCCAGUAUAUCCCAGUCCAAUCCGGUCCACCCCAGUGCUCCAUGUGCUCCCAGUGCUCCUCCCAGUCCAUCCCAGUGCUCCCAGUCCAUCCCAGUAUAUCCCAGUCCACCCCAGUGCUCCCAGUAUAUCCCAGUGCUCCCAGUCCACCCCAGUACUCCCAGUUUAUCCCAGUACUCCCAGUUUAUCCCAGUGCUCCCAGUACACCCCAGUGCUCCCAGUUUAUCCCAGUGCUCCCAGUCCACCCCAGUACUCCCAGUUUAUCCCAGUGCUCCCAGUUUAUCCCAGUGCCUCCCAGUCCACCCCAGUGCUCCACGUGUUCCCCGUGCUCCUCCCAGUCCAUCCCAGUGCUCCCAGUCCAUCCCAGUGCCUCCCAGUAUAUCCCAGUCCUCCCAGUAUAUCCCAGUGCUCCACAUGCUCCCGGUGCUCCUCCCAGUCCAUUCCAGUGCUCCCAGUUUAUCCCAGUCCCUCCCAGUCCCUCCCAGUGCUCCAUGCGCUCCGGGUUCUCCUCCCAGUCCAUCCCAGUUUAUCCCAGUGCCUCCCAGUAUAUCCCAAUGCUCCAUGUGCUCCCGGUGCUCCUCCCAGUCCAUCCCAGUAUAUCCCAGUCCUCCCAGUAUAUCCCAGUGCUCCAUGUGGCCCUGGUGCUCCUCCCAGUCCAUCCCAGUGCUCCCAGUCCACCCCAGCGCCUCCCAGUAUAUCCCAGUGCCUCCCAGUAUAUCCCAGUCCAGUGCCUCCCAGUAUAGCUUGACACUCCCAGUCCAUCCCAGUAUAUCCCAGUCCUCCCAGUAUAUCCCAGUCCUCCCAGUAUAUCCCAGUGCUCCAUGUGGCCCUGGUGCUCCUCCCAGUCCAUCCCAGUACUCCCAGUAUAUCCCAGUCCAUCCUCGCGUAUCCCAGUGCUCCCAGUUUUCCCAGUCCAUCCCAGUGCUUCCCAGUAUAUCCCAGUCCAGUGCCUCCCAGUAUAUCCCAGUAUCUCCCAGUCCAUUGCAGUCCAUCCCAGUGCUCCCAGUCCGUUCCAGUAAAUCCCAGUUCACCCCAGUCCAUCCCAGUGCUCCCAGUAACGACUCCCAGACCUCCCAAUCCAUCCCAGUCCCUCCCAGUUCUCCCAGUAACCAUUCCAUGUCCUUCCAGUUCAUCCCAGCGCUCCCAGUAACGGCUCCCAGUCCCUCCCAGUGCUCCCAGUAACAACUCCCAGUCCUCCCAGUACUCCCAGUUCUCCCAGUCUGUCCCAGCUCUCCCAGUAACAUCUCCCAGUCCAUCCCAACCCAUCCCAGUGCUCCCAGUAACGGCUCCCAGUCUGUCCCAGUCCGUCCCAGUGUUCCCAGU
rnacentral:lncRNA from 1 species